rnacentral:sRNA from 1 species
UACUUCACCUAUUCCUUUAGAAACAG